AGGUCGCCUUCUCGGAACACACGAGGAUUGACCUUCUUGUCGAAUACUUUUUCACUCUCUGCUGAUAUGACUGACCAUGACACAUGGCAGUUGAUCUCUUCUUUUCGAUUGAAUUCAGCAUCAGCCAACUUGGGACUUUGAGGGUGCUAUUUCUCUUUUGUUUUUUUUUCUUUCUUUUUCUUUCUUUUGAUUUCUUUUAAUUUCUUUUGAUUUGGUUUUGCACUCUCCUCUUUCUUUUUUCCUUUUUUUUCUUUCUUUUUUUUUGAUAAUGCCCCAGUUGGCUGUUCUGCUGAUUCUCGAGGUGCAGCUGAGUGAUCUUCUUUUCUUGCUCAAGAAGUCGGGAAAUCUCGUCAGGAAUCCCUUCAACAUCAUCUUCG
rnacentral:lncRNA from 1 species